ACGCUGGCGGCAGGCCUAACACAUGCAAGUCGAGCGGUAGAGAGAAGCUUGCUUCUCUUGAGAGCGGCGGACGGGUGAGUAAUGCCUAGGAAUCUGCCUGGUAGUGGGGGAUAACGUUCGGAAACGGACGCUAAUACCGCAUACGUCCUACGGGAGAAAGCAGGGGACCUUCGGGCCUUGCGCUAUCAGAUGAGCCUAGGUCGGAUUAGCUAGUUGGUGGGGUAAUGGCUCACCAAGGCGACGAUCCGUAACUGGUCUGAGAGGAUGAUCAGUCACACUGGAACUGAGACACGGUCCAGACUCCUACGGGAGGCAGCAGUGGGGAAUAUUGGACAAUGGGCGAAAGCCUGAUCCAGCCAUGCCGCGUGUGUGAAGAAGGUCUUCGGAUUGUAAAGCACUUUAAGUUGGGAGGAAGGGCAGUUGCCUAAUACGUAACUGUUUUGACGUUACCGACAGAAUAAGCACCGGCUAACUCUGUGCCAGCAGCCGCGGUAAUACAGAGGGUGCAAGCGUUAAUCGGAAUUACUGGGCGUAAAGCGCGCGUAGGUGGUUUGUUAAGUUGGAUGUGAAAUCCCCGGGCUCAACCUGGGAACUGCAUUCAAAACUGACUGACUAGAGUAUGGUAGAGGGUGGUGGAAUUUCCUGUGUAGCGGUGAAAUG
rnacentral:rRNA from 1 species